GAUAAGCGCUGAAAGCAUCUAAGCGCGAAGCUGGCCCCGAGAUGAGUCAUCCCUAGAGCUUCGAGCUCUCUAAAGGGUUGUUCUAGACUAGAACGUUGAUAGGCAGGGUGUGUAAGCGCUGUGAGGCGUUGAGCUAACCUGUACUAAUUGCCCGUGAGGCUUAACCAUACAACACCCAAG
rnacentral:rRNA from 2 species